GUCGUGAGAUGUUGGGUUAAGUCCCGCAACGAGCGCAACCCUCGCCAUUAGUUGCCAUCAUUUAGUUGGGCACUCUAGUGGGACUGCCGGUGAUAAGCCGGAGGAAGGUGGGGAUGACGUCAAGUCAUCAUGGCCCUUACGGGCUGGGCUACACACGUGCUACA
rnacentral:rRNA from 1 species